UCGUCUCAGUGAAUGAACUCCUACUUAACGAUUGAAGGGAAGAUGUAUCAGAGUCCAUCAGGCUGGUAUGGAAGAGAACAGAAGGGCUUAUUUUACACAUCCUGCCAGGGUGAUGUGAUGAAAGCCAGAUGUCACCCUGCAUGUGCAAAGGGGUUUGGGCAUUAUAGAAGAGGAACUCCAAAACUAUGAAUCUGGGAACUGAAUGAAGUCCCAGUGCCAUAUAUAGCUGCGACGGUGACUGAGAAGCAUGACCUUUCAUCCGAGCGUACUGCUGUACUGAGUAAAGUUGGAAUUUUAUUGUCAAGGACAAAGGGAAGAAUGGUGGACAACAACUUUCUGUCACAGGUUCUAAGAAGAAUUAUAUCCCCCGAGCCAUCUACUUCCUCACCCUGAUUCCCUCUCCCGAGAGGCAACUAUUUUCAACUCUUAACUGUUUUCCCUAGGUUUUGUUUUCAUACUCAGACAACAACAACACUGUUCUGCUAAUUCAUUAUGUCCUUGUUUUAAAUGAUAUUUAUUUAUUUUACUAUCGGAAAUGAGGAUUUUAUCUCUCUUG